GCGGACGGGUGAGUAAUGCCUGGGAAAUUGCCCUGAUGUGGGGGAUAACCAUUGGAAACGAUGGCUAAUACCGCAUAAUAGCUUCGGCUCAAAGAGGGGGACCUUCGGGCCUCUCGCGUCAGGAUAUGCCCAGGUGGGAUUAGCUAGUUGGUGAGGUAAGGGCUCACCAAGGCGACGAUCCCUAGCUGGUCUGAGAGGAUGAUCAGCCACACUGGAACUGAGACACGGUCCAGACUCCUACGGGAGGCAGCAGUGGGGAAUAUUGCACAAUGGGCGCAAGCCUGAUGCAGCCAUGCCGCGUGUAUGAAGAAGGCCUUCGGGUUGUAAAGUACUUUCAGCAGUGAGGAAGGUGGUGUGCUUAAUACGCACAUCAUUUGACGUUAGCUGCAGAAGAAGCACCGGCUAACUCCGUGCCAGCAGCCGCGGUAAUACGGAGGGUGCGAGCGUUAAUCGGAAUUACUGGGCGUAAAGCGCAUGCAGGUGGUUUUGUUAAGUCAGAUGUGAAAGCCCGGGGCUCAACCUCGGAAUUGCAUUUGAAACUGGCAGACUAGAGUACUGUAGAGGGGGGUAGAA
rnacentral:rRNA from 1 species